GCAGCCGCGGUAAUUCCAGCUCCAAUAGCGUAUAUUUAAGUUGUUGCAGUUAAAAAGCUCGUAGUUGGAUUUCUGGUGGAGGUGAUCGGUCGGCCUCGCAAGGGGUCUGCACCUGUAUUGUCCUUUGCCAUCCUUCAGGAAGGCGCUUCUUGUAUUAACUUACGGGUUGCGAACUCCUGAUCUUUUACUGUGAAAAAAUUAGAGUGUUCAAAGCAGGCCUUUGCCCGAAUACAUUAGCAUGGAAUAAUAGAAUAGGACGUGUGGUUCUAUUUUGUUGGUUUCUAGGACCGCCGUAAUGAUUAAUAGGGAUAGUCGGGGGCAUCAGUAUUCAAUCGUCAGAGGUGAAA
rnacentral:rRNA from 13 species